CCAGAGACACUUUCGGUCUACUUUUUCUUCUCUUGUCGCCUUAUCGUCCUUCCGAGCUUCAGAUGACGUCAGGCUACUGUAGCUACGCCAGUGCUUCAGGCAGCGGUCAUGAACGUGUCACGCGCAUUCUCGUCGUUGGCGAGGCAAGCGUCGGCAAGACGCUGCUCAUCCGGCGCCUGUGCGACCACAUUUUCGGCGACACUUCCAUUACGAGCACCGAUGAAGUGUCAGCCCCCGAGAGCCCAUAUCAAUCACAGAGUGCAGUGGCCGAUGACGACCUCGGCCCCAAGUGGGGGCCGACGGUGGGGAUUGCUGUGGAUGCUCUGAAGCGUACCACGACGGUGCUUGACGAUACCGUCACCAUCCCGAAUGUAGCCAUGUCUACACCGUACGAUACAGCCGCUAUGACGAGGUACACGGCGCCGCCGUCCAACUUACACUCUGGCGAGAACGGCAACUACCCAAGCUGCUCUGUCUACGGCACCCCCUGCUCGACCAGCGGCUACGGAGGAUCAAACAGCGUGCUCCAGUAUCGGGGGCAGGGCUUCGUCGGCUCGAACACCUCCUUUGCCGUGCCGCAUCUGGUGGCCAGCGCCUCGCCUCCGCGUCGGCAAACCGUGCUGCAGACCGUCGAGUUUCAUGAACUAGGCGGCACCCACGGCUAUCGCGAUGUCGCUCGGAUGCUUCUGCGCAACAUCCAUUAUGAUGGGGUCAUGUUUGUGUACCAUCGCCGCAGUCUUACCAGCACGCUGUACCUCAAAGAGUGGUACCGCUGGAUACGCAGCGUCCUCUCCGCCAGCCCGGACAUAGGCAGCGAUUACGGCGCCGAGGCCAACAAGCCGGCGAAGUCCUCGAAAACGAUGCCGCGGUUUAUGUUAGUGGGCACCCAACUACCCGGUGACGAGCUUCCCGCUGCCGUGGCUGGGCUCGCGAAGACCACCGCGGAGACACUACACAUGGCCUGCGGCGCCAUCUCUGACGAGACCCUGUUGGAUGGCAACUUGGAGGUGAAGUUGCGCGCUCUGCAGUCCCCGCAAACACUGACACAGCGCCGUGGCGUGCGGCAUGCACUGGGCAAGGUGCUCCGUAGACUAGCGUGGCCGUACCACGUGUGGUGGUGCGUGUCGCACCCGUUUUUCCUCCUGUCGAAGCAGUAUCAGGAAGAGCUCGGGCCGCGCAGCCGGCUCGGCGCGUGUGGCUCACGCGUCGUUGAGCGAUUUGUGUGGCUGCUUUACCAGGCCGAGCAGGCACUAAUGUACGUGAUGGCGGUCAUUUUGUUCGGCCCCUACCAGGAAGCUGUGGUUCUUGGUCAUUCACGCUUGAAGCAGACUCUGGAGGAGAUGCUGAAGGAUGAGCUGUGUGUAUCGCAGGCGCACGUGUGUCGCCUGGACAGCAACAUGUCCCUGCAGUCUUCUUUGGACGAUGUGGUUGCCUUCUUUGACAUUCUCCUCCGCCAAGAUGCACCGGACGAGGGACGCUGAGACGCAGGAAAAUGAUCAUUGUUGUUUUUAUUCUCGUCCGCUGUGGACGUUUCGAGGGGAGGGGUGCCACCCAUCCUUGCUCUAACUUGUCUCUCUCCUCACUUCUCUCUCAUUGUGCAUCCUAGGUGUUUAUAUGCUCGCUGUCGAUCCUUUCCGCUUUUCUUUGCUAUCUUCUUGGCCACUCUCUUGACCCCCCCUCCACCACCACCACCACUCGCUACUUGCUUCUCCCUCCUCCCACCCUCUCAGUUCCUCUUCUGUGGCGCUGACAGAUACGUUCAUGCGCGUCUGUGUGAGUGCGCAGUUGUGCGCGUAUUUCCGGGCGCAUCAUUUCACACUGCGCUUUCUUUUCAUUUCGGCUUAUCUUAUUUUCUUUUAUGUUCGUUCUCUCCAUCCGAAUCCCCCACACAUAGGCACGCGCUCCUUCUGCCGCUGUGCGCGUCUUGGCCCGUGCCUCAGAAUGUGAGCCUGAGCGUGUGUGUCUUUGCGUUUGUGUGUCUGUCUGUCUCUGUGUGUGUGUGUGUAUGUGUGAAGUGGGGGGGGGAGGUGGCUGUGUAUAUCCCGGUCGGCAAAUCCGCUUCAUAACUUCCGCGUCGCUGCCUUCGUGCUCUUGCGCGAUUUAUGUUUUUUUAUGUUGCAGUUGUUUUGUUCCAAGUCGCUUUUUCUGCUCCCCCUCUCCCUGAGUGCCCAGGCAUCAAGCUAAGGGAAGGGGAGGGGCCGGUGUACGAUGAGGCGAGAAAGACAAGGACAUAGUGCGUCCGCUGCCACAGCGGCGAUUUUGCAGCAUAUGAACUAGAACUGCAUGAAGACAAACUUUUAAGAGAGGCAUGUCGAGUUCGGUGAUUGCGAUCCAUGACCCCUUUCUCAGAAAUGGGAAAAGACGCAACGGCGUUGUCCCCUCCACCCCACCGCCCCUUCCUCUCUCACACAGACAUCCACAGGAGAGUUUCCCUAGGCGUCAAAUGGCUCUUUUCUUUUCGCGUGUGCAUGUGUGUGUGUGUGUGUGUGUAGGUCUGUGGCACGGCUGCUCUGACGUGU
rnacentral:misc_RNA from 1 species